AUUGAACGCUGGCGGCAUGCCUUACACAUGCAAGUCGAACGGUAACGCGGGGGCAACCCUGGCGACGAGUGGCGAACGGGUGAGUAAUACAUCGGAACGUACCCAGUAGUGGGGGAUAGCUCGGCGAAAGCCGGAUUAAUACCGCAUACGACCUAUGGGUGAAAGCGGGGGAUCGCAAGACCUCGCGCUAUUGGAGCGGCCGAUGUCGGAUUAGCUAGUUGGUGAGGUAAAGGCNCACCAAGGCUACGAUCCGUAGCUGGUCUGAGAGGACGACCAGCCACACUGGGACUGAGACACGGCCCAGACUCCUACGGGAGGCAGCAGUGGGGAAUUUUGGACAAUGGGCGAAAGCCUGAUCCAGCCAUGCCGCGUGUGUGAAG
rnacentral:rRNA from 1 species